rnacentral:lncRNA from 12 species
GGUCAAGAGCCUGGAGGCCUGGGGAGGCCUCUUCUCACAGAAGAAUUGGGCGAGCCUGUUUGCCCCAGAGCGCGCUACUGCUCCUCCCCCGCCCCGCCCCGCCCCCCAAGGUGAACUAAGGUUCUUGUUCCUUUGAUUUCGAUGCCAUUCUGUGUUUCAUGCGCCCGCCCGGCCCCAAGGCGCGGAGUUGAGCCAGGGGAGAAAGAGGGGAAGCGGGGGUGGGGGGGCGCAAACUCUUGCAGCCCGGCAGUGAGGCUGCACUUGACGCCGCGCGGCCCUCCAGCCUGCCUCGCACCCCCUCCGGCGGCCGCCUCCGCGGGCGCGCUCGAGCAUCCGGCUGGAGACUGCGCGGGAGCCCGCCCCCGCGCCCCGCUCAUUGGCCGCGCCGGCCUCUUCGUCACGCUCUUUUGUCUCCGUGCGCAGAGGAUAAAAGCCUCGGCGGCUGCCGUGGGAACCGCGCUGUCGGGACUCGGCUACCCCUCGCCGGGAGGCCGUGCGAAGCAGCUCCCCGGGCAGCUCCCGGUCGCCUGGCGGCCGAGGCCGUGCCCGUGCCUUUUCCCUGCGGGGCCGCGGAGAGCGGAAGGCGGCAUCCAUCGCCCGCAAGGCCUGAGCGUCCGCUGCCCACCGGCCCAGCACAGGCCAUUAAAGCCGGAUGCGAACUUGGAUUCUGUGUGGCUGAUUGCGGAGCUGUCUGGACGCCCCGAGGUCCCGGAUCGGCGACCCCCGGUGGACAGAGAACUAGCGUAGCCGGACGACGAGCUUUCGCACCAAGGCCACCGGUUGCAGAAGCUGGGAGUGAAAUAAAGGCGCGCGCGCCGGGUCCUGCGCUCCUGUA